rnacentral:rRNA from 1 species
UUUCCCCUACGGGGCGCAGCAGUGGGGAAUAUUGGGCAAUGGGCGCAAGCCUGACCCAGCAACGCCGCGUGAAGGAAGAAGGCGUUCGGGUUGUAAACUUCUUUUAAGAGGGAAGAGAAGAAGACGGUACCUCUUGAAUAGGCCACGGCUAACUACGUGCCAGCAGCCGCGGUAAUACGUAGGUGGCAAGCGUUGUCCGGAUUUACUGGGUGUAAAGGGCGUGCAGCCGGGCUGACAAGUCAGAUGUGAAAUCCCGCGGCUCAACCGCGGAACUGCAUUUGAAACUGUCAGUCUUGAGUACCGGG